AGAGUUUGAUCCUGGCUCAGGAUGUACGCCGGCGGUGUGCUUAAUACAUGCAAGUCGUACGCACUGGCCCAACUGAUUGAUGGUGCUUGCACCUGAUUGACGAUGGAUCACCAGUGAGUGGCGGACGGGUGAGUAACACGUAGGCAACCUGCCCCGGAGCGGGGGAUAACAUUUGGAAACAGAUGCUAAUACCGCAUAACAACAAAAGUCACAUGGCUUUUGUUUGAAAGAUGGCUUUGGCUAUCACUCUGGGAUGGACCUGCGGUGCAUUAGCUAGUUGGUAAGGUAACGGCUUACCAAGGCGAUGAUGCAUAGCCGAGUUGAGAGACUGAUCGGCCACAAUGGAACUGAGACACGGUCCAUACUCCUACGGGAGGCAGCAGUAGGGAAUCUUCCACAAUGGGCGCAAGCCUGAUGGAGCAACACCGCGUGAGUGAAGAAGGGUUUCGGCUCGUAAAGCUCUGUUGUUGGAGAAGAACGUGCGUGAGAGUAACUGUUCACGCAGUGACGGUAUCCAACCAGAAAGUCACGGCUAACUACGUGCCAGCAGCCGCGGUAAUACGUAGGUGGCAAGCGUUAUCCGGAUUUAUUGGGCGUAAAGCGAGCGCAGGCGGUUGCUUAGGUCUGAUGUGAAAGCCUUCGGCUUAACCGAAGAAGUGCAUCGGAAACCGGGCGACUUGAGUGCAGAAGAGGACAGUGGAACUCCAUGUGUAGCGGUGGAAUGCGUAGAUAUAUGGAAGAACACCAGUGGCGAAGGCGGCUGUCUGGUCUGUAACUGACGCUGAGGCUCGAAAGCAUGGGUAGCGAACAGGAUUAGAUACCCUGGUAGUCCAUGCCGUAAACGAUGAGUGCUAGGUGUUGGAGGGUUUCCGCCCUUCAGUGCCGGAGCU
rnacentral:rRNA from 1 species